AACCAUGGCAGGCACAUUGCCACCAUCAUUCAAGCUGGUAGCAUCCCCACUUGAGGGGUAAGAGACCGAAUCACGGAGCGUUUGCAUGAGUGGUGGACUCAGGAUGGGACCCCAAACCUUUUGCUUCUAAUUCCACAGCUUGUUUCCAUAAGAAUUCACUUACUGAACUUGCACUGAUGUGUUUGUUCACUGCCUGUGUGUUGUCUACUAGGUGCUGGGCACACUUGUGAACUGAAGAGAAUCAAAACCCUUCCUUUGUGGAAUUUGCCUUCUAGCAAGAGAAACAGAUAAGGAGCAGGAAAUAGGAGCACAGUGUAGGGUGUGAACAGUGACAAUAAAACCGGCGGAGGUGCCAGGGAGAGUUGCAAUUUGAAAUGAAGUGCCAGGGUGGGCCUCACCAGAAGCUACAGCUGAGCAGCGGAGCCGAGGAGAGAUGUGCUUCCAGGAGGACCCUUCUAGGAAGAGGGAGGCAUGCUGAGAUGGGGUUCGGAAGACAAGUCGGGAAAAGAGAGGCGUCAAGGUCAUCAAUGCAUGAAGGGAUUUAAACCCACAAGCCUGGACAAGACCACCAAGAAGGGAAAAGCAAGGCCCCAAGGACUGAGGCCUAGACCAUGGCCACCGCGAGAGCUCAAAGGACCCAAAGGGGCAGCAGAGGAGGCAGAGCAGAGUGAAAAUGGACUAAUAGAAUGAGCUACUCCCUAAGUGCUGGCAGAACUGACACCACCAUUCCCCUUCCUUUAUCUGUCCUGUUGGUUACAGCCAUUGUGCUAAGAGGAGAGGAAAGCACGUCUUGUGAUCUGCUCACCAGCCCUGUGAUGAGGGCCUUAUAUCCACGUGUUACAGAUGAGCUGAGAGGUUCGAGUUCCACUGAGGCCUGACUGCUGUCUGGCCGCCUUCCUGGGAAUGCACGCGGCAUGGAAUGAGCUGGGUUUCUCUCACCCUUCUCCAGCACUGCCAGGACCAGAGUCUGGCCAUCUUAACCUGGACUCAUCCGUGCCUGAAGCCAAACACACCCUGGGCGUCCCAGGAAGGAGCAGGUUUCCUGCACUCCCAGCUGAAAGACUGUUACUCCUGGGUCUCCUCUCCACAAACAAGCGAGGGAAGAGAAAGUGACCCAGGGCUCCGUGAGCGCCAGCCCGAAGCAGCAGCAAUGGCAGGGCAUUGGGCGGUGGUUUUCUCAUACAUGAGAAAUUAACUCCUCCAGAAGCCUUUUGCAGAGAAGUCAAAGUAUUUUUUUAAAAAGAAGAGGAGACAGGAAGACGGUCUUUAAAGUGAAACUCCUAAUCAUCCUGUGAUAACAAUGAAACCUGAUUUUCCUGUCAACCGCUACCUGCUGGGUUACAUGCUGCAUUUUAACUCCUUGUAAUCCUCAGAAGGCAAAGGAUUUUUAAAUCAAUGUUUUAAAAUUGUAUUUGCAAAUCACUUUCUUCUGUCAAGUGUUUUGUCGCCUCUGUGGUCCCUGAGCAAACACACAGACAGCCCACAUGGUGUUUGCAAGUCUGCACAUUGAGGAUCUGGCAUUUAAGUUUAACAUUGAUUCUGCCGUGAUUAACAUGAAUGCCACUUCGAGUAUCUCAUUGCCCUCUGCCAGCCUUGGUUUCCUCAUCUGUACAAUGGAGACAAUAACAUUACCAUUGUCAUUUUGUGUAGCUCUGGGAUUUUGUGCCUGGCCUGUCACAAGUCAGUACAUAGUAUUUAUUGUUAAAUGGCAGCUGCUCACACCUGCCACCACUUAGGAAGUUCUUGUCAUGCUCAAUAUGACCUGAAGACUAGGGGCGGAGAUGGGAGGCUGGGAGAGAACCCGGCCCAGUUGCUUCCUGAGGAGCUGACACCUCUGCUGACAGAGCACACCAGCCCGCAAGCCGCCCCUCGCUCAGCCUCACAGCAGCGCAGGACGUCUGCAUCAUCUGCAAAUUUGAUUUUGUUUGUGACACAAUUUUUAUUAGUUGGAAAUUUCAAACGCUGUCAUUCUUUUAUAUUCUUUAUCAGUAUCCUGUUCAGAAACCAAAGCAUUGACCCACCCAUUUCACAGAGAAUGGAGACAAAGAGUGAGUGAGUGUCUAGUACACACAGCAACCACUUCUUGGAGUACAAGUAGGGCUGGACCCCAGCUCUGCCACAUUCUCAUUCAGGCAUUUGAGAUAAAAACUCAGCCUUCCACUGCCUAAGUUCGGAGGGGAACGUGUGGCCCCACACACCUGGGGAACUAACUAGGGCCACAGGCUCCAGGUCACCUCGAACACGCGGCUCCACAGAAGCUGCCGGGGUCCCACCCCUGCGCCUCCCUCCGCUCUGUGCACCUCCCUUGGUUUGGUUCUUGAGACAGGCACCUGCAAGCACAGGCACAGGCUCGCCAGACUUCAUCUCCCCAGGGCAGAGGGGCCGCCUUUUCCUGAACCUUCCAGAGGACUGACCCAGGGGAGGGUUCCGAUUGCUCCUCCUGGAUCACACACUCAGCUGCGGCCGGCUCUGGGACCCAGAGGAGGUGGCAGGAGUGACCCACCAGGGCCAGGGUCGGCCUUGCUCUCGGCCUUGCUCUCGGGAAGUGGAGGAAGCCCCACCCUAACUGCUUAAGGAAGCUUCCUCUGGGGAAGAAAGCCGCGGUCUCUGGUCUUGGAGGACAGGAGGUGGAGGUGGGGCCUGGAUAAAGGAUGGCCACUACCCAAGCAGACCAGUGCAGGUAUCUAGGGACCGCUGUUCCUGGGCAUCCGCAAGAACGUUUUUAUUAUGCAAGUUACACAUGGAGUCAUUUCCUUGUCAAAAGAAAACCUCACUUCACAGACGACUGACAAUGCUGGUUGGCCCUGCACCCCACCUCCACGGCACCCCCAGCGCUGCAGCUGGUCUGGUUUGCUGUGUCUUCACUACCCUUCUCCACACUGACACACAGAAACCAACAGGAUUAGAAAAUAAACAGCACCAUGCUGGGGCUCGGUGCUACAUGUUUUCAGUAGAUUCGGACUAAACACAUUGCUCUGAAAAUUACUUUAUUUAAUUAAAAAGAUGCUGGGGUUGUCCCUUGUCAUAAAAACUUAGGUUGUUUCCAAUUUUUCACUGUUCAAAAACAUACACAGCAAUUAAUAUCCCUGCAUAUAAUUCACAGUACACAUAGGGUAAUCUUUUUGCCUAUGACAGACAUUGACAAUAAUUUCUGGCUUAUAUAGUAUAUUGUUAAAUAAACUGACUUUAUAAUUUCAAAACUCAGAACAGAGAAAGCUCCAGGCCUUGACGUCUUUUUAAUGAAUUCUACCGAACAUUUAAAAAAGCAACAACACGAAACUUACAA